UCAUCGGGGCUUAAAGUCGUAAGGAGAUGGGAAUUAACCUCUUCCAGAGUAUCAUGGCGCUCCCCCCCGGUAUCCCCAAGCGUAUAUUAAAAUCCCGCAGUUAAAAAGUCGUAGUUGAAUCUGCCGCCGUCGAUCCCUCCGGGGUCGCCCCCGGCUUUUUUCGGCGGUUCGCUUCCGGACGUCUACUCUGGAAAAUUAGAGUGCUCAAAGCAGGCUUUCCCCCGACCUAGUUUAGCAUGGAAUAAUAAAGUAGGACUUUGGUUUAUUCG
rnacentral:rRNA from 1 species